AUACUUACCUGGCAGGGGAGAUACCAUGAUCACGAAGGUGGUUUACUCAGGUUGAGGCUUAUCCAUUGCACUCGGGAUGUGCUGACCCCUGAGAUUUCCCCAAGAUCAAAAGAAAAAAUAAAAACAAAAACAAAUGUCUGUAGGAUUCAUCUACGUUGUGGAGUGAACCAGUA
rnacentral:snRNA from 1 species